GAGUUUGAUCCUGGCUCAGGACGAACGCUGGCGGCGUGCUUAACACAUGCAAGUGGAGCGACGAACCGGGGCUUGCCCCGGGGCAGAGCCGCGAACGGGUGAGUAACACGUGGGUAACCCACCCCGAUGAUUGGGACAACCCGGGGAAACUCGGGCUAAUACCAAAUGUGCUGACGGUUCAUGAGGACCAUCAGUAAAGAUAGCUUCGGCCUUCGCAUCGGGACGGGCCCGCGGCCCAUUAGCUUGUUGGUGAGGUAACGGCCCACCAAGGCGACGAUGGGUAGGCUGGUCUGAGAGGACGAUCAGCCACACUGGGACUGAGACACGGCCCAGACUCCUACGGGAGGCAGCAGUGGGGAAUCUUGCGCAAUGCGCGAAAGCGUGACGCAGCAACGCCGCGUGGAGGAAGACGGUCUUCGGAUUGUAAACUCCUUUCAGUUGGGACGAAGCUCAACCGGUUAAUAGCCGGGUGGAGUGACGGUACCUUCAGAAGAAGCCCCGGCUAACUACGUGCCAGCAGCCGCCGUAAG
rnacentral:rRNA from 1 species